UAGUCUAAAUCUUUUUCGAAUAUUUCAUGUAUGCAAAGUUGCUUAAAUGGCCCAUGUCUUUACACCCAGAUUCCUAUAUUUUCGAGCGGUUAUAAGCACAGUGUCGACCGAGUGACGAAAAGUGUUACAAAAGUGCCGGAAUUUUACCCCGCCUUGCCACCCGCAGGCAGCACUGCCCACAGUUUCAGCUAUAAUCACAAUCAAACUACACGAAUGAGGCGAAUCGCCAUCAAAGUAGCGUAUGCAGCUGUCAAAACUCAACACAACAGUUGGCGAACAGAGAAACGAUUUUCGCAAGCAUUUUCUGUUUAAAUUUUAUUUAAUUCAUUUUAGAUUGGCUCAAUCAAAGUACCGAACGGCAUAGUAGACGAAUUGGACCUUCCAUCUCCCCUGGAUCAGAAGGCAUCAUAGUAAAUACAGGUUGUUCUCGCAUGCCUUUCAUCUCCCCAGUUCCAGCAGGCAUAGUAAAUACAUGUUAUUUUUCAAAGCGCCAUCAUUAGCGGAAGUUCUAGAUAAUACAUUACUGAAAACAUUUGUAAUGAACGAAAAAAAUAUCAGUGUAUAUAGUGUAUUAAUAUAUAUUAACAAAUAAUAUAAUAGAAGUAGACUAGUAGU